UACGUGAAACAGUUUGUCGCCGGUACGUGAAACAGUAUAGUUUCGCAGGUACGCGAGACUGAUUUUUCGCGGGUACGGGAAACGGGGCUGCAGGUAAGCAGGAUGGUGGUGAUAAGACUUUGUGCGAGUAAGUAUAAGGAAAUAAUUAUGAAAGUCAUACCCUGGGUUGAGAAUUAUGGUUUUCCAAAAAAGAAGAGGUACCUUUAGCAUAACAGCCCUUAACAAUAUAAAAGAGAACUUGGAAAAAUGUGAAAACAAAUUAAGAGAAUGUAAAAGGCGAAAAACAAGCAAGUUUCAGAAACAUAGGAAUUUUUAUUUUACCUUUUAAUAAAUAAAUUUAAAUGCCAUUUAGGAAAGAACUGAAAAAUUAUUUCUGUAGAAAAUGCUGAUAAAAGAACAGAUCAUACUGUUCAGAUUUCUUCUCUUUAUCCCCUUAGAGAACUGCGCUGUGCCAAAGUGGACUUUGAUCUGGACUCCUGGUUUCACCCCUAUCGAUGCCACAGCAGCACCAGAUUCAACCACCACAGCUGCCUCCCUCCUAAAGAGAAACUGCAUCUGCACCGCAGUCCUUACCGCCCGACGAAAGACAAGCAUCAUCAUCUUCCAAACCGUCUGCUCUGCCACCAGCAACGUCAUCGGAUUGACGAAAUACUCCAUGGCCGGAGUCAGCACCAGAUCUAAAGCUCAUGAGAGAGUGACACUGCAGCCGGACAGCCUGAACGAGAAGAAACUGGAGGAAAAAGGAGAGCAUGUCAGAGCUUUCCCCAUGAUUCAAGCGGCUGGGCUGAAUAGAGCUGUGAUGGUCUCUUAACCAUAGAACGAGAAAGACUUGAUAGAGGCAAAACGAAGCAUAUCAUUAAGCAGUGGAAAUACUGUGUCAACGGAUCAAGACUCACUGUCCAGUCAGAGUGAACACCCCCAAAAUCACGCAGAAGAGCAGAGGUCAAAGACUGCCUCAGACUGAUCCAGAAUGCCACAUUUGAACAGCUAUGCAAGCUUUUGCCACAGCAGAAGAAAAGAAACAAUGGGUGAAGGCCGAGUGCAAACUGAAAACAGGCCGAGUACAGACGACAGACCGUCUGCCAAAACAUGUUUCCCACACUAUGCAAAACUUGUACAUGGCCUAGAUCACGAGUAUUGAAAGCAUAAUCGAUAAUGCAAAUAAAACCAUUAGUCAGAUGUGACAUAAAAGAGAAAAGUAAUGAAGUGUUGUGAGCAGACAGGACAGACUUGGGUAAAAGCACUCCCCAUUGUGUUAAUGUAUAUGAUAAUGACAAAAAGAACAGUCUAACUUGAGUCCAUUUGAAAUUUAGUUUGACAGGCCAACUUUCAGUGGAGUAGGACCAGAACCACAACAACUGUCCUCUACAUCCUUGUGUGAAGAUGACAUGCUGAAGUGUAGCAGAAAGAUGUCUCUUGUUCUCUCUCAGAUACCUUAGCAGGUCAAGGAUGCUCUGCCCAAGCCAGUGGUAGGAGUCUUGCAUGGUAUCAGGUCUUGCUGAUAACACACAUAACUGAGGUGAAAGUGAGAGAGAGGGCUACGUGGAUACAUGCAAGUCACUGCAGGAAGGUUCGAGCACCACCAGAGGGCUACAGCUCAGUAAAGUGAUUGACCAGCUGCCCCGUGCCAAGGGGGACGUCUGGCUGACUGAGGUGAACAAACAUACAGUGGUGUACGGGAGCUGAACACGCAGCAACAUCACUGUGUGGGGGUGAUCUGAGGUCAGUUUGGGCCAACGGAUGACAGCGUAGGAAACAUACCAUCUGACCACUGCAGCGAAACCACACGACCAACCCGUCAAGAGGGAACACAAGCUGUGGAACGGAGCUGAGAAGUUCUUCCAUGAUGUAAUUACGGCACUUGGGGUCAGCCUUCUUCAAAUUGAAGUCCAAAUCACGAGGUAUGAACUGAUGAGUUUCAUAAACACUACUAAGGUGACGAUGGAAGGCAUCAAGAAGAAACUACGAGGACUGAGGCCGACUGCACUGCAAGAUUUGUCCUGGACCAGCUCUCUGCAUCUCCUCGCGGGGAUGUGUGUGUACUUGUGGGAACUGUAUUCAAAACAUGACUAAUUCAAUUCACAGGUUAACAGCUAGAGAAGUAAAUGCCAAUGAUGAUUGGGAAUGGAACUGGUUUAAGGGUUUAUGGCAGAAAGAAGAAUACAUUGGGUUAAUUGCCAUCUCAGCACUGGCCAUGAAUUUAUUUUUGCUGUGUAUGUGGCCUUGUGUAGUGGGAAUGAUUAGAAGAGCUGUAAAUUAAAUCAUGAAAUCUUUAGUAGUUCAUCAGAUGUUAAUGUACAAUGACUUGUAUAUGUAAGUACUUCUGAUGUAAAUGAUGAAGACAAUGAGAGGCUAAAAUCUGACACCUGCAGCAGCUCUACAGAAGAAGAGUGGUAAGUAAGCAUUACAUGCUGUACAAUAAAGAAGGUCUAAAGCAGGUCAUUGUCUGUGUUACGAGAUGAUGCAACCGGAAGAAAAGUAAAAAAAGUUUCUUCUUUUUGAAUAUUACACUACGAUUUUGAAAUAUUAUCAAAUAUAAGAGUUUUUUUUUUCUUUAAAACUUGCUUAUAUGUUAGGAAUGACUAUGUUCCAUAAAAAAACAAUGCAGAUGCUUUUUUUCGCCCUUAUGAGAGUAAUGGUGUUUAAAAUCUUGAAUUUACAUGAUUGAUGUAAACUAUAAGGGUAGUGUGUUCACAAAUGUAUCUACAUUUAAUCAAUAUAAGUGAUCAAUAAUGAUCAAAAGGGAGGAGUGUUAUGAAAAUUUUUAGUUUUGUUAAUUUGGCAUUGAUUGCAUUAAUCUAAUUUAUUAAUCUCUUUUAUAACAUACAAUGAAUAAGGUAGUAUAUAUAGUCCAUAGGGGCAUUUAAUUAUUUUAUGUAACUUGUGCACGUAACUGCUUUAGGUUUAAAAACAGCAUUUGAGGGGAAACAGGCAGUUUUUGAGAGUUACCAGGCAUCUAUGAUGAGAUGUGCAUGUGUUUUGGUGUGAUGUGCACGGAGCAACAUGAUUGGCUCAAAGGUCCUAGUCUGUCCUUCAGUGUAUCUUUUUACAUUCUAUAAAAAGUGGGCUGUAAGUCUGUGUGUUAUCUCUUUGCACACAGACUCGGAAGCUGUGUGUAAUCCGGAUCAUUCUCUGCAGAGAAUUAAAGCAAUAAAAAGACAAAACUCUG